rnacentral:rRNA from 1 species
UGUCGUCAGCUCGUGUUGUGAAAUGUUGGGUUAAGUCCCGCAACGAGCGCAACCCUUAUCCUUUGUUGCCAGCGGUCCGGCCGGGAACUCAAAGGAGACUGCCAGUGAUAAACUGGAGGAAGGUGGGGAUGACGUCAAGUCAUCAUGGCCCUUACGACCAGGGCUACACACGUGCUACAAUGGCGCAUACAAAGAGAAGCGACCUCGCGAGAGCAAGCGGACCUCAUAAAGUGCGUCGUAGUCCGGAUUGGAGUCUGCAACUCGACUCCAUGAAGUCGGAAUCGCUAGUAAUCGUGGAUCAGAAUGCCACGGUGAAUACGUUCCCGGGCCUUGUACACACCGCCCGUCACACCAUGGGAGUGAGUUGCAAAAGAAGUAGGUAGCUUAACCUUCGGGAGGGCGCUUACCACUUUGUGAUUCAUGACUGGGGUGAA